rnacentral:piRNA from 1 species
UGGGAUUAAACAUAUGUGCCACUAUAUCUG